rnacentral:rRNA from 1 species
UACGUAGGGGGCAAGCGUUGUCCGGAAUCAUUGGGCGUAAAGAGCGUGUAGGCGGUUCGGUAAGUCGGCUGUGAAAGUCCAGGGCUCAACCCUUGAAUGCCGGUGGAUACUGUCGGGCUAGAGUCCGGAAGAGGCGAGUGGAAUUCCUAGUGUAGAGGUGAAAUUCGUAGAUAUUAGGAAGAACACCAGUGGCGAAGGCGGCCAGCUGGGCCAGAUCCGACACUGAGGCGCGAAAGCGUGGGGGAGCAAACAGG